CUCAAAAGACCUGACCCCGAACACCGUCAUCCCAAAUCCUGAGCUCCUGAAAGAUCAAAACCUAACAUGUUGGUGUUCUGACCAGUUUCUCUGUGAAUGGUUCAUCUGCACAUAACUCAUAUCCACGUGACUGAAUGAGCACACCUGUGUGUCUGUGCUGGAGAAAAUGUUAUGAUCACCGACUUUAUUGGGAUGUCAGCAUUCAGAACUGUGUCCCAGGAUCGUGG
rnacentral:lncRNA from 10 species